rnacentral:lncRNA from 1 species
UUUUGCUGGAGCCUGCGACCGAGUGGGAGUGGAGUGGAGCGGCUGUGGUUGCCGACUCUUUCCUCUUCCCCACGGUCCAGUCAGCGGGUUAAUUAGGCCAUCGGCCCUCGAGCCGAGACUUGUCUCUUAUUUAGUUCUGGGGAGCGCCUCGUCGACAUGAGUGAUGUGGAGGAAAACAACUUCGAGGGCAGAGUGAGUACAAAGCCGCGGGAGCCGUCUAGGCGGCGGCCCAAUGCUCGGGGUUUCACGGGAACAAGCGCGGUCGGGCGGGGUUGCGGGUAGUCCCGCGAGGAGCAACCUCUGGAGCCAUCGCGAUUGAUUCCUCCCAUCCCAAGAUGGCUUCUGGGUUCCACUCCUUCCCCAAACACCACGGAUAACACCCCUCCCCCUUUUUUGGAGGCUGACUGAUACCUGGACUUCUGGGUCCUCUUCCCUCCCCGCCCCCGCAUUGCUUCCUCCCUUCUCCCCACCCCUGAGGCUUCCUUAUGUCUGCUCCGAGGUGUGGGUCCCCGUCGCGGUUGGGCGGGAGGAGGCGGCAGGGAGCUCCCCUCCGUCCGGAUAGUGGUAGGUGCUUCCUGCGGUGGCAUUUCUGGCGACCCCGAGCAUCGUAGAGGGUCUCGGGAUCGAAAGUGCGCGGGGCUGCUUUCCGGGCGGGGAGAAGCUGGCGUGGGACUAGCUGGGGCCUGUGUCUCCUUGGCUCUCUAUUUCAGUGAGCGGCCGCGUCUCUGUUGGAACCGGCGGCGUUGCGUCUAAAAAGGCGAAAGCCUUGAGGUUGAAGGUGGGACGAGCCUAAUGAAGUGGUUAAUGUUCGUGAAGAAAUUGAAGAGUUUUUUCCAAGAAUGUGGAAGAUAAAUCAAGAUAAAAGAAGGCUAAUGAAAAGUAUUAAAGAUCAGAAAAUUAAAAUUGAAUGGGGGAAAAAAUUGAACAGAAGAUUGGUCAGAUAGAAGCACUUGAAUAUUUUUUUAAGGCUAUUUUGAAUUGUUUGAAUUGGGGAAGAAUACACGAAGUAUGAAAAAUGAAAAACUCAAUGAAGAAUGAAGAGAAGUAGAAAGCAAGAGUGAAGUAGAAUUAAAAGAAUCUGGAAGAAUGAAUGGGUCCUAGGAGUCUCGCUCUCAGUCAAAAUCUCCAACGGGAACUCCUGCUCGUGUAAAAUCGGAGAGCAGGUCAGGAUCUCGUAGUCCAUCAAGGGUUUCCAAACACUCUGAAUCCCAUUCUCGAUCAAGAUCAAAAUCCAGGUCGAGGUCAAGGAGACAUUCUCAUAGACGUUACACUCGAUCCAGAUCCCACUCUCACUCUCAUAGGAGACGAUCUCGAAGUAGAUCAUAUACACCAGAAUACCGGCGGCGAAGGAGCCGAAGCCAUUCUCCAA